rnacentral:rRNA from 1 species
AACGAACGCUGGCGGCAUGCCUAACACAUGCAAGUCGAACGAGACCUUCGGGUCUAGUGGCGCACGGGUGCGUAACGCGUGGGAAUCUGCCCUUGGGUUCGGAAUAACAGUUAGAAAUGACUGCUAAUACCGGAUGAUGUCUUCGGACCAAAGAUUUAUCGCCCAAGGAUGAGCCCGCGUAGGAUUAGGUAGUUGGUGGGGUAAUGGCCCACCAAGCCGACGAUCCUUAGCUGGUCUGAGAGGAUGAUCAGCCACACUGGGACUGAGACACGGCCCAGACUCCUACGGGAGGCAGCAGUGGGGAAUAUUGGACAAUGGGCGAAAGCCUGAUCCAGCAAUGCCGCGUGAGUGAUGAAGGCCUUAGGGUUGUGAAGCUCUUUUACCAGGGAUGAUAAUGACAGUACCUGGAGAAUAAGCUCCGGCUAACUCCGUGCCAGCCGCCGCCGUAAUAC